rnacentral:ncRNA from 1 species
CCAUUUUGAAAAAAAUGGAAAUAUAAAGGUAAAAUUACUUUUAUAUUAACAGAUUGAACAGGCUAAUUUGCGCAAGAGAGUACAAAUUGAGUGCGCGGUUUGGCACCUCGAUGUCGGCUUAGCUCAUCCACAUGAAUGCAAAAAUCAUGAAGGGUUCGACUGUUCGUCGAUUAAAGAGCUACACGAGCUGGGUUUAAUACGUCGUGAGACAGUAUGGUUUCUAUCUUCUAGAGGGAAUUAAAGUAAAAUAAAGAUAGCCCCUUCGUACGAAAGGAGUUGGGUAUGUUGACCUAUGGUUUACCUGUUGUUUAUGUUAUAUAUAAUUAUUUAUAUAUGAUUUACUUAUACUAGAGUAAAUUUCCACAUAUGCAUGGCAGGAAGGCUACGUCAAUUAAAGAUAAGUGCUGAAAGCAUUUAAGCGCGAAGCUUACUUUAAGAUACUUUUAAACGUAGUAGAACACUACGAGAUAUAAUUAUCAUAAGUUUACUUAUGAUAAUAAAUAGGCUUUAGUUGUUUAGACAUAAAGUACUAAUUAUUAAU